UGCAGUCGNACGCAGUAGCAAUACUGAGUGGCAAACGGGUGAGUAUAAUGUGGGAAUCUGCCUUUUGGUUUGGAAUAACACGGGGAAACUUGUGCUAAUACCGAAUAAGCCCUUACGGGGAAAGUUUUAACGCCGAAAGAUGAGCCCGCACUUGAUUAGCUAGUUGGUAAGGUAAAAGCUUACCAAGGCAACGAUCAAUAGCUGUUCUUAGAGGAAGACCAGCCACAUUGGGACUGAGACACGGCCCAGACUCCUACAGGAGGCAGCAGUGGGGAAUCUUGCACAAUGGGGGAAACCCUGAUGCAGCGAUGCCGCGUGAGUGAAGAAGGCCCUUGGGUUGUAAAACUCUUUCGUCGGGGAAGAAAAUGACUGUACCCGAAUAAGAAGGUCCGGCUAACUUCGUGCCAGCAGCCGCGGUAAUACGAAGGGACCUAGCGUAGUUCGGAAUUACUGGGCUUAAAGAGCUCGUAGGUGGUUAAAAAAGUUGAUGGUGAAAUCCCAAGGCUCAACCUUGGAACUGCCAUCAAAACUUUUUAGCUAGAGUGUGAUAGAGGUAAGUGGAAUUUCUAGUGUAGAGGUGAAAUUCGUAGAUAUUAGAAAGAACACCAAAUGCGAAGGCAACUUACUGGGUCACUACUGACACUGAGGAGCGAAAGCAUGGGUAGCGAAGAGGAUUAGAUACCCUCGUAGUCCAUGCCGUAAACGAUGAGUGCUAGACGUUGGGAAUAUAUUUUUCAGUGUCGCAGCGAAAGCAUUAAGCACUCCGCCUGGGGAGUACGACCGCAAGGUUAAAACUCAAAUGAAUUGACGGGGACCCGCACAAGCAGUGGAGCAUGUGGUUUAAUUCGAAGANACGCGCAGAANCNUUACCAACGCUUGACAUGUUCGUCGCGAGACUAANANANUAGUUUUCNNCAGUU
rnacentral:rRNA from 1 species